GGGGAAUAUUGCACAAUGGGGGAAACCCUGAUGCAGCGACGCCGCGUGGAGGAAGAAGGUCUUCGGAUUGUAAACUCCUGUUGUUGGGGAAGAUAAUGACGGUACCCAACAAGGAAGUGACGGCUAACUACGUGCCAGCAGCCGCGGUAAAACGUAGGUCACAAGCGUUGUCCGGAAUUACUGGGUGUAAAGGGAGCGCAGGCGGGAAGACAAGUUGGAAGUGAAAUCCAUGGGCUCAACCCAUGAACUGCUUUCAAAACUGUUUUUCUUGAGUAGUGCAGAGGUAGGCGGAAUUCCCGGUGUAGCGGUGGAAUGCGUAGAUAUCGGGAGGAACACCAGUGGCGAAGGCGGCCUACUGGGCACCAACUGACGCUGAGGCUCGAAAGUGUGGGUAGCAAACAGGAUUAGAUACCCUGGUAGUCCACACCGUAAACGAUGAUUACUAGGUGUUGGAGGAUUGACCCCUUCAGUGCCGCAGUUAACACAAUAAGUAAUCCACCUGGGGAGUACGACCGCAAGGUUGAAACUCAAAGGAAUUGACGGGGGCCCGCACAAGCAGUGGAGUAUGUGGUUUAAUUCGACGCAACGCGAAGAACCUUACCAAGUCUUGACAUCCUGCGACGGUGCUGGAAACAGUGCUUUCCUUCGGGACGCAGAGACAGGUGGUGCAUGGUUGUCGUCAGCUCGUGUCGUGAGAUGUUGGGUUAAGUCCCGCAACGAGCGCAACCCUUAUGGUCAGUUACUACGCAAGAGGACUCUGGCCAGACUGCCGUUGACAAAACGGAGGAAGGUGGGGAUGACGUCAAAUCAUCAUGCCCUUUAUGACUUGGGCUACACACGUACUACAAUGGCGUUAAACAAAGAGAAGCAAGACCGCGAGGUGGAGCAAAACUCAGAAACAACGUCCCAGUUCGGACUGCAGGCUGCAACUCGCCUGCACGAAGUCGGAAUUGCUAGUAAUCGUGGAUCAGCAUGCCACGGUGAAUACGUUCCCG
rnacentral:rRNA from 1 species